rnacentral:pre_miRNA from 14 species
CUUCCGGGUUCUUGGGGGUCGUACAGAUCCCGAACGAGACCCCACAAUGUAGGACCCCUGUCGGGAGACCCCACUCCAGUCUCGGGAUUGUACUACGCCAAGAAACGCAAGAGACA